rnacentral:rRNA from 1 species
CCCUUAGAUGUCCUGGGCCGCACGCGUGCUACACUGACGCAUACAGCGAGCACUUUCCAGUUCCGGGAGGCUACUGGUAAUCAUCAAUAUGCGUCGUGAUGGGGAUAGAUCUUUGGAAUUCUGGAUCUUGAACGAGGAAUGCCUAGUAAUCGCAGGUCAUUAGCCUGCGAUGAUUAAGUCCCUGCCCUUUGUACACACCGCCCGUCGCUACUACCGAUUUCGAGUGGUCAGGUGAAUCUUUCGGACUGUGGGCGCCCUUGAGGUGUUCGCGGAAAGUCAGGUAAAUCUUAUCACUUAGAGGAAGUAAAAGUCGUAACA